rnacentral:tRNA from 1 species
GCCUGGGUGGUGGAACUGGUAGACACCCGGGACUUAAAAUCCCGUUCCCGUGAGGGAGUACCGGUUCGAUUCCGGUCCCAGGUACCA